rnacentral:rRNA from 1 species
AUUGAACGCUGGCGGCAUGCCUUACACAUGCAAGUCGAACGGUAACGCGGGGCAACCUGGCGACGAGUGGCGAACGGGUGAGUAAUGUAUCGGAACGUGCCCAGUUGUGGGGGAUAACUGCUCGAAAGAGCAGCUAAUACCGCAUACGACCUGAGGGUGAAAGCGGGGGAUCGCAAGACCUCGCGCAAUUGGAGCGGCCGAUAUCAGAUUAGGUAGUUGGUGGGGUAACGGCUCACCAAGCCAACGAUCUGUAGCUGGUCUGAGAGGACGACCAGCCACACUGGGACUGGGACACGGACCAGACUCCUACGGGAGGCAGCAGUGGGGAAUUUUGGACAAUGGGCGCAAGCCUGAUCCAGCCAUGCCGCGUGCGGGAAGAAGGCCUUCGGGUUGUGAACCGCCUUUGUCAGGGAAGAAAAGACUCCUGUUAAUACCGGGGGUUCAUGACGGUACCUGAAGAAUAAGCACCGGCUAACUACGUGCCAGCCGCCGCGGUAA